rnacentral:rRNA from 1 species
UAGAGCUAAUACAUGCCGAAAGCCCCGACCUCCGGGAGGGGUGUGUUUAUUAGAUAAAAAACCAACGCCCUCCGGGGCUCCUUGGUGAAUCAUGAUAACCUCACGAAUCGCAUGGCCUUGCGCCGGCGAUGGUUCAUUCAAAUUUCUGCCCUAUCAACUUUCGAUGGUAGGAUAGUGGCCUACCAUGGUCGCAACGGGUAACGGGGAAUUAGGGUUCUAUUCCGGAGAGGGAGCCUGAGAAACGGCUACCACAUCCAAGGAAGGCAGCAGGCGCGCAAAUUACCCAAUCCCGACACGGGGAGGUAGUGACAAUAAAUACUGAUACAGGGCUCUUUCGGGUCUUGUAAUCGGAAUGGGUACAAUCUAAACCCCUUAACGAGGAACAAUUGGAGGGCAAGUCUGGUGGACCUCUUGCGGGUCCCCGCCCAUGGGCGGGCUACUGACGCCAGCGAUAGUGGGUCGGAAGGUCCGCUAGUCGAGCACCCGCGAACAGUGAUGGGUGGGUGCCGGCCAGACAACCUGGUUCGGGGGAGGCUUCCGCCGCGCGAUGGCCUGCCGAUCCCGAGCGGAGUCGCCCUGGGGACACCCGGGACGGCCCGUGUAGAGCGCGCAAAGGUGUCGGCCGGCCUCUGAUGGCCGGCUUGAGGGACGUGCCAUUCCCGUCCGAAAGGAUGAUCUCCGCCGGAGCCCCCAUCAGGCGAGGGCGGAGCGGGGUGUCGGCUCGGGGAGCGACGCCCGGAGAGACAAGGCCAGCAGCCGCGGUAAUUCCAGCUCCAAUAGCGUAUAUUAAAGUUGUUGCAGUUAAAACGCUCGUAGUUGAACCUUGGGCCUGGCUGGCCGGUCCGCCUCACCGCGUGCACUGGACCGGCCGGGCCUUUCCUCCUGGGGAACCGCAUGCCCUUCACUGGGUGUGUCGGGGAUCCAGGACGUUUACCUUGAGAAAAUUAGAGUGUUCAAAGCAGGCCUAUGCUCGAAUACAUUAGCAUGGAAUAAUAGAAUAGGACGUGCGGUUCUAUUUUGUUGGUUUCUAGGACCGCCGUAAUGAUUAAUAGGGAUAGUCGGGGGCAUCCGUAUUCAAUUGUCAGAGGUGAAAUUCUUGGAUUUAUUGAAGACGAACUACUGCGAAAGCAUUUGCCAAGGAUGUUUUCAUUAAUCAGUGAACGAAAGUUAGGGGAUCGAAGACGAUCCGAUACCGUCGUAGUCUUAACCAUAAACCAUGCCGACUAGGGAUCGGGCGGUGUUAUUCUUUUGACCCGCUCGGCACCUUACGAGAAAUCAAAGUCUUUGGGUUCUGGGGGGAGUAUGGUCGCAAGGCUGAAACUUAAAGAAAUUGACGGAAGGGCACCACCAGGCGUGAACGCAGUCGCCGCCGACUCUGCGCCUCAGAGCAGCCCGGAAGGGUGCGGUGGUCCGCCCGGCAGAUCAAGUGCUAGUUCGCCUCGUUGACCGGGCGAGCGACACGCUCAAAUUGCGGGGACUCCCUAAAGCUCCAGCUACCAAGCCGGCCUGGAGGGUCGGUGGCCGGGUUAGUCGCCCAGGGUACGGUAACAGUGCUGGAGAUGUGACAAUGGGUGAUCCGCAGCCAAGCCUCCACGGUAGGGGAAGGUUCAGAGACUAGAUGGGUGUGGGUUGGCCCCUCCUGACCGGGAGGGGUGGCCUAAGGUAUAGUCCAUCCGUCCACCCGAGAGGGGAUGGGACAGUGGCUCGGCCGCUGCGCAGGAUGGGAGCCUGCGGCUUAAUUUGACUCAACACGGGGAAACUCACCAGGUCGAUGGUCUGGGCCUGGGAAAGCGAUGCCACGCUGUCGCGUCGCUAGUGCUGCACCCUCCGUGUGGGGGAGUCCCCGAGUCUGGGCAUGGACGGCGCCACUUUGCGGGUGCCGGUGCAGCGCAACACCAGCUGGUACAGGGGACGCCUAGGUUCCGUGGUCGACGCCACUCCGGGCCAAUCCUGUGGCGAGCCCCCGACGGGGGGCCGUUGCAACGCGCGCCAAGCGGUGGGUCCCCCCUCUUGCGGGGGGCUUGAGGUACGUGCUAAUCCCAUGGGUAACUGUGCCCUGGUAGCAAGGCCCAGACGCCGAAGCACCGGGGGUCCUCCCUUCCAUUGUCGGGUGGAUGGUGUGGCAGAAUUGCCAGACACAAUAAGGAUUGACAGAUUGAGAGCUCUUUCUUGAUUUUUCAGAUGGUGGUGCAUGGCCGUUCUUAGUUGGUGGAGUGAUUUGUCUGCUUAAUUGCGAUAACGAACGAGACCUUGACCUGCUAACUAGCCCGGCUGGCUGCUGCUGGUCGCCGGCUUCUUAGAGGGACUAUCGGCUCAAGCCGAUGGAAGUUCGAGGCAAUAACAGGUCUGUGAUGCCCUUAGAUGUUCCGGGCUGCACGCGCGCUACACUGACAGAGCCAACGAGUUCUUUUCCUUGGCCGAAAGGCCUGGGUAAUCUUGCGAAACUCUGUCGUGCUGGGGAUAGAGCAUUGCAACUAUUGCUCUUCAACGAGGAAUGCCUAGUAAGCGCAUGUCACUAGCAUGCGUUGACUACGUCCCUGCCCUUUGUACACACCGCCCGUCGCUACUACCGAUUGAAUGGCUCAGUGAGGCGUUCGGACUGGCUAGGAGCAGUUGGCAACAGCCGC